AUUGAACGCUGGCGGCAGGCCUAACACAUGCAAGUCGAGCGGAUGAAGGGAGCUUGCUCCUGGAUUCAGCGGCGGACGGGUGAGUAAUGCCUAGGAAUCUGCCUGGUAGUGGGGGAUAACGUCCGGAAACGGGCGCUAAUACCGCAUACGUCCUGAGGGAGAAAGUGGGGAUCUUCGGACCUCACGCUAUCAGAUGAGCCUAGGUCGGAUUAGCUAGUUGGUGGGGUAAAGGCCUACCAAGGCGACGAUCCGUAACUGGUCUGAGAGGAUGAUCAGUCACACUGGAACUGAGACACGGUCCAGACUCCUACGGGAGGCAGCAGUGGGGAAUAUUGGACAAUGGGCGAAAGCCUGAUCCAGCCAUGCCGCGUGUGUGAAGAAGGUCUUCGGAUUGUAAAGCACUUUAAGUUGGGAGGAAGGGAAGUAAGUUAAUACCUUGCUGUUUUGACGUUACCAACAGAAUAAGCACCGGCUAACUUCGUG
rnacentral:rRNA from 1 species